rnacentral:rRNA from 1 species
UGGGGAAUCUUGCGCAAUGGGCGAAAGCCUGACGCAGCCAUGCCGCGUGUAUGAUGAAGGUCUUAGGAUUGUAAAAUACUUUCACCGGUGAAGCUGUAGCCGGAGAAGAAGCCCCGGCUAACUUCGUGCCAGCAGCCGCGGUAAUACGAAGGGGGCUAGCGUUGCUCGGAAUUACUGGGCGUAAAGGGCGCGUAGGCGGACAUUUAAGUCAGGGGUGAAAUCCCAGAGCUCAACUCUGGAACUGCCUUUGAUACUGGGUGUCUUGAGUGUGAGAGAGGUAUGUGGAACUCCGAGUGUAGAGGUGAAAUUCGUAGAUAUUCGGAAGAACACCAGUGGCGAAGGCGACAUACUGGCUCAUUACUGACGCUGAGGCGCGAAAGCGUGGGGAGCAAACAGGAUUAGAUACCCGAGUAGU